rnacentral:rRNA from 1 species
GGAAUAUUGCACAAUGGGGGCAACCCUGAUGCAGCCAUGCCGCGUGUGUGAAGAAGGCCUUCGGGUUGUAAAGCACUUUCAGUUGAGAGGAAAGGUUGAUGGUUAAUACCCAUUAGCUGUGACGUUAGCAACAGAAGAAGGACCGGAUAACUCCGUUCCGGCAGCCGCGGUAAUACGGAGGGUCCGAGCGUUAAUCGGAAUUACUGGGGGUAAAGCGCACGCAGGCGGGUUGUUAAGCUAGAUGUGAAAGCCCCGGGCUCAACCUGGGAAUUGCAUUUAGAACUGGCAGGCUAGAGUCUUGGAGAGGGGAGUGGAAUUCCAGGUGUAGCGGUGAAAUGCGUAGAUAUCUGGAGGAACAUCAGUGGCGAAGGCGACUCCCUGGCCAAAGACUGACGCUCAUGUGCGAAAGUGUGGGUAGCGAAC